GAUGAAGAACGCAGCGAAAUGCGAUAAGUAAUGUGAAUUGCAGAAUUCAGUGAAUCAUCGAAUCUUUGAACGCACAUUGCGCCCGCCAGUAUUCUGGCGGGCAUGCCUGUUCGAGCGUCAUUUCAACCAUCAAGCCCCAGGCUUGUGUUGGAGCCCUGCGGCUGCCGCAGCCUCCCAAAACCAGUGGCGGGCUCGCUAUCACACCGAGUGCAGUAGUUUACUCUUCGCUCAGGGCGUGUGGCGGGUGCUAGCCGUAAAACCCCCAACUUCUCAAGGUUGACCUCGUAUCAGGUAGGAAUACCCGCUGAACUUAAGCAUAUCAAUAAGCGGAGGA
rnacentral:misc_RNA from 1 species